rnacentral:rRNA from 1 species
UGGGGAAUCUUGCGCAAUGGCCGAAAGGCUGACGCAGCGACGCCGCGUGUGGGAUGACGCCUUUCGGGGUGUAAACCACUGUUGCCCGGGACGAAACCGCCUAUUCGUGGGCGUUGACGGUACCGGGUGAGGAAGCACCGGCUAACUCCGUGCCAGCAGCCGCGGUAAUACGGAGGGUGCGAGCGUUGUCCGGAAUCACUGGGCGUAAAGGGCGCGUAGGCGGCUUGGGAAGUCCGUGGUGAAAGCUCGAGGCUCAACUUCGAGUCGGCCAUGGAUACUCCUAAGCUCGAGUCGACUAGAGGCAGAUGGAAUUCCGGGUGUAGCGGUGGAAUGCGUAGAGAUCCGGAAGAACACCGGUGGCGAAGGCGGUCUGCUGGGGUCGAACUGACGCUGAGGCGCGACAGCGUGGGGAGCAAACA